CCUACGGGUGGCAGCAGUGGGGAAUAUUGCACAAUGGGGGAAACCCUGAUGCAGCAACGCCGCGUGAAGGAAGACGGUUUUCGGAUUGUAAACUUCUGUUCUUAGUGAGGAAGAAUGACGGUAGCUAAGGAGCAAGCCACGGCUAACUACGUGCCAGCAGCCGCGGUAAUACGCAGGUGGCAAGCGUUGUCCGGAAUUACUGGGUGUAAAGGGAGCGCAGGCGGGAAGCCAAGUCAGCUGUGAAAAGUACGGGCUCAACUUGUAGACUGCAGUUGAAACUGGUUUGCUUGAGUGCAGUAGAGGUAGGCGGAAUUCGGGGUGUAGCGGUGAAAUGCGUAGAUAUUCGGAGGAACACCGAUGGCGAAGGCGGCCAACUGGGCUUUAACUGACGCUGAGGCUCGAAAGUGUGGGGAGCGAACAGGAUUAGAUACCCUGGUAGUC
rnacentral:rRNA from 1 species